UGAGGAAUAUUGGUCAAUGGGCGAGAGCCUGAACCAGCCAAGUAGCGUGCAGGAUGACGGCCCUAUGGGUUGUAAACUGCUUUUAUGUGGGGAUAAAGUGCGUGACGUGUCAUGCAUUGCAGGUACCACAUGAAUAAGGACCGGCUAAUUCCGUGCCAGCAGCCGCGGUAAUACGGAAGGUCCGGGCGUUAUCCGGAUUUAUUGGGUUUAAAGGGAGCGUAGGCUGUCUAUUAAGCGUGUUGUGAAAUUUACCGGCUCAACCGGUGGCUUGCAGCGCGAACUGGUCGACUUCAGUAUGCAGGAAGUAGGCGGAAUUCAUGGUGUAGCGGUGAAAUGCUUAGAUAUCAUGACGAACUCCGAUUGCGCAGGCAGCUUACUGUAGCAUAACUGACGCUGAUGCUCGAAAGUGCGGGUAUCAAACAGG
rnacentral:rRNA from 2 species